GAGUACGGCGGAACACGUGAAAUUCCGUCGGAAUCCGGGAGGACCAUCUCCCAAGGCUAAAUACUCCCUAGUGACCGAUAGUGAACCAGUACCGUGAGGGAAAGGUGAAAAGCACCCCGGAAGGGGAGUGAAACAGUUCCUGAAACCGUGUGCCUACAAGUAGUUAGAGCCCGUUAAUGGGUGAUAGCGUGCCUUUUGUAGAAUGAACCGGCGAGUUACGAUUUGUUGCAAGGUUAAGCGGAAAAAGCGGAGCCGUAGCGAAAGCGAGUCUGAAUAGGGCGCAUAAGUAACAGGUCGUAGACCCGAAACCAGGUGAUCUACCCAUGUCCAGGAUGAAGGUAAGGUAAUACUUACUGGAGGUCCGAACCCACGCACGUUGAAAAGUGCGGGGAUGAGGUGUGGGUAGCGGAGAAAUUCCAAUCGAACUUGGAGAUAGCUGGUUCUCUCCGAAAUAGCUUUAGGGCUAGCCUCGAGGUAAAGAGUCAUGGAGGUAGAGCACUGUUUGGACUAGGGGCCCUUCUCGGGUUACCGAAUUCAGAUAAACUCCGAAUGCCAUGUACUUAUACUCGGGAGUCAGACUGCGAGUGAUAAGAUCCGUAGUCGAAAGGGAAACAGCCCAGACCACCAGUUAAGGUCCCCAAAUAUAUGUUAAGUGGAAAAGGAUGUGGGGUUGCUUAGACAACCAGGAUGUUGGCUUAGAAGCAGCCACCAUUGAAAGAGUGCGUAAUAGCUCACUGGUCGAGUGACCCCGCGCCGAAAAUGUACCGGGGCUAAACAUAUUACCGAAACUGUGGAUGAACCUCUUUAGAGGUUCGUGGUAGGAGAGCGUUCUAAGGGCGGUGAAGUCAGACCGGAAGGACUGGUGGAGCGCUUAGAAGUGAGAAUGCCGGUAUGAGUAGCGAAAGAAGGGUGAGAAUCCCUUCCACCGAAUAUCUAAGGUUUCCUGAGGAAGGCUCGUCCGCUCAGGGUUAGUCGGGACCUAAGCCGAGGCCGAUAGGCGUAGGCGAUGGACAACAGGUAGAGAUUCCUGUACCAGUGCUAAUUGUUUAACCGAUGGGGUGACACAGAAGGAUAGGGAAUCGCACGAAUGGAAAUGUGCGUCCAAGCAGUGAGUGUGAGAAGUAGGCAAAUCCGCUUCUCGCGAAGCAUGAGCUGUGAUGGGGAAGGAAAUUAAGUACGGAAGUUCCUGAUUUCACGCUGUCAAGAAAAGCCUCUAGGAAGAGUAGUACUGCCCGUACCGCAAACCGACACAGGUAGAUGAGGAGAGAAUCCUAAGGUGAGCGAGAGAACUCUCGUUAAGGAACUCGGCAAAAUGACCCCGUAACUUCGGGAGAAGGGGUGCUCUAUUAGGGUGCAAGCCCGAGAGAGCCGCAGUGAAUAGGCCCAGGCGACUGUUUAGCAAAAACACAGGUCUCUGCAAAACCGUAAGGUGACGUAUAGGGGCUGACGCCUGCCCGGUGCUGGAAGGUUAAGAGGAGUGCUUAGCUUCGGCGAAGGUACGAAUUGAAGCCCCAGUAAACGGCGGCCGUAACUAUAACGGUCCUAAGGUAGCGAAAUUCCUUGUCGGGUAAGUUCCGACCCGCACGAAAGGCGCAACGAUCUGGGCACUGUCUCAACGAGAGACUCGGUGAAAUUAUAGUACCUGUGAAGAUGCAGGUUACCCGCGACAGGACGGAAAGACCCCGUGGAGCUUUACUGCAACCUGAUAUGGAAUGUUUGUACCGCUUGUACAGGAUAGGUAGGAGCCGAAGAGACGUGUGCGCUAGCAUACGAGGAGGCAAUGGUGGGAUACUACCCUGGCUGUAUGACCAUUCUAACCCGCCACGCUUAGCGCGUGGGGAGACAGUGUCAGGUGGGCAGUUUGACUGGGGCGGUCGCCUCCUAAAGAGUAACGGAGGCGCCCAAAGGUUCCCUCAGAAUGGAUGGAAAUCAUUCGCAGAGUGUAAAGGCACAAGGGAGCUUGACUGCGAGACUGACAAGUCGAGCAGGGACGAAAGUCGGGCUUAGUGAUCCGGUGGUUCCGCAUGGAAGGGCCAUCGCUCAACGGAUAAAAGCUACCCCGGGGAUAACAGGCUUAUCUCCCCCAAGAGUCCACAUCGACGGGGAGGUUUGGCACCUCGAUGUCGGCUCGUCGCAUCCUGGGGCUGUAGUCGGUCCCAAGGGUUGGGCUGUUCGCCCAUUAAAGCGGCACGCGAGCUGGGUUCAGAACGUCGUGAGACAGUUCGGUCCCUAUCCGUCGCGGGCGCAGGAAAUUUGAGAGGAGCUGUCCUUAGUACGAGAGGACCGGGAUGGACACACCGCUGGUGUACCAGUUGUUCCGCCAGGAGCAUCGCUGGGUAGCUAUGUGUGGCAGGGAUAAACGCUGAAAGCAUCUAAGCGUGAAGCCCCCCUCAAGAUGAGAUUUCCCAUUUCUUCGGAAAGUAAGAUCCCUGAAAGAUGAUCAGGUAGAUAGGUUUGGAGUGGAAGUGUAGCGAUACAUGGAGCGGACAAAUACUAAUCGAUCGAGGACUUAACCAA
rnacentral:rRNA from 1 species